UCAAAACCCCUAGGAAGGACCCAAGCUCCCACAAACCCUAAUUCACUCAAUUAUACUUCAAAUCUUGAGAGAAAUUCAAUUAGGAUUCAAUCCUAAGCUAAAGUCUUGACAAUAACCUUAGGAGAUCAAAAGGUGAUUUGGGUGGAUCAUCAAGUGGGCAAGGCGGAACGGAUACCCGUUUAAAAGAAAAGCUUUAAAAAGGUAACAAUAACAACUUGCGGAUGAAGAUCAAGCUAUAUAGUAAUACCGAACACGCGCGCAAAGAAGCUUCCGCAAUUGAAACUACUUCUUUUCUCACAAAAUGUUUUGGAAACGUUAGUGAAUGUCAUUGUAAAGUUUUGAAACUUAUAUAAAAGUCGUUAAUUCGAUCUUUUACUAUUAAAGAGAAUUAUAAAUGUAUCAUUUAUUAUAUAAAUGAUAAAGUAAGCAUGAAGGGUCUUACACAAAGGGAAAUUUCAUCCUAUCCGAAAGUAUGUGGAACUAAGGAAGAUGCGGUUUUAUGGGUUUCUAAUAAAGCUAAGAUCCCACCCCUAGUAUGGGAUAAAUGGGUAGAUGUCGAUGUAUUAGACUUGCUUUAGAGUGACCUUUUGUUUUUCUUC